rnacentral:sRNA from 1 species
UUCUAGCCCUGAUAGAAGCGGUAUCCUUUUAAGGCUUUCUUUAAGCCGUAAAAGAUAUAGCUGAUAGCAGGAUUAAGC